CCCCUUUGCUCCAUAUAGUUAAGAUGUGAGGAUAUUCCCUUCCCAACAACAGUUACGUACUUCUCUUCUGAAGGUAUGGGAUGUAUAACGCUUUGCCCUCCUGCAUGAUUGAAAUCCUAAGUUUAAUUUCUCCGCCACAGAGGAAAAACAGCUAUCUCAUAGCAUUAUUCACCUUCCUUCACCAAAGCAGGGUCGGGAAUUCCUGAGGACUGGCCUUAGCAGUGAAG